GAUGACUACUCUAAUCCCAUAGAAGAUUUGAAACAUCUUCAAAUGUAUUUGGAAGGGAAGUUAAGGAAAACCGGAUAGUUGAAUACACUAGACGAAAGGCAAAGAUUGAUCUUCUGUAAAGAAACCACGGGCUACACACUUACUACUAUAAUGGAAGUUGUUGCAUAUGGAGAAGACAUGGCCAUUUUUCUAAUAGAGUUUUCAAGUUUUAAACAUUUUGAUAUUCUUUGGUCCUAUAAUAUUGUGAUACAUACUGAGUUUUUCCUUUUUACCUUUGUAGCUCUUGCACUUGCUCUUACUACUCCAAAUCUAUAUGAUUUCUACAACUAUAGACCUACUAAACCAAAUACAAUUUACUUCUAAAUGAGUUCAUACAGGAGUAAAAUCACUCUCUCUUGCACUUUAUAUUAAUAACCAAACACAACAUUUAUCAAAAUGAGAUCCAAUGCAAGAAAUUUUAUUCAUAUAUUUCAUACCUUUCAUUCUAACAACAUUUAUCAAAACCGCACACUCAUCACGUUGUUCUUGAACAAAGUUUCAGGGGAAAAUUUGUGGUGUAGUUAAUCGAUAGAGAUCAAGGUGAAAGGAUUCAGUGAGAUGAUGGUGCAGUUCUGUUAUCACAUUAUACAUGUUUAUGAUACAUAUGACACAACUACCAGAAACUGACAUCAAGAGGUCUUUGAACUUAU